GAUGAACGCUAGCGGCAGGCUUAACACAUGCAAGUCGAGGGGUAACAGGUCUUUCGGGACGCUGACGACCGGCGCACGGGUGAGUAACGCGUAUGCAAUCUGCCUUCAGCUGGAGGAUAGCCCGGAGAAAUCCGGAUUAAUACUCCAAAUGCUAUCGGACGGCAUCGUCUGAUAUCUAAAGCUCCGGCGGCUGAUGAUGAGCAUGCGUGACAUUAGUUAGUUGGUGAGGUAACGGCUCACCAAGACUACGAUGUCUAUGGGGUCUUAAAGGAUGAUCCCACACACUGGUACUGAGACACGGACCAGACUCCUACGGGAGGCAGCAGUGAGGAAUAUUGGUCAAUGGGCGAAAGCCUGAACCAGCCAUGCCGCGUGAAGGAUGACGGCCCUACGGGUUGUAAACUUCUUUUGUACGGAAAGAACAAAGGCUACGUGUAGCCUCUUGACGGUACCGUACGAAUAAGCAUCGGCUAACUCCGUGCCAGCAGCCGCGGUAAUACGGAGGAUGCAAGCGUUAUCCGGAUUUAUUAGGUUUAAAGGGUGCGUAGGCGGAGUUUUAAGUCAGUGGUGAAAUCUUGUGGCUCAACCAUGAAACUGCCAUUGAUACUAUUGCUCUUGAAUGUAGUUGAGGUAGGCGGAAUGUGUAGUGUAGCGGUGAAAUGCUUAGAUAUUACACAGAACACCAAUUGCGAAGGCAGCUUACUAGACUAUGAUUGACGCUGAGGCACGAGAGCGUGGGGAGCGAACAGGAUUAGAUACCCUGGUAGUCCACGCUGUAAACGAUGAUCACUGGUUGUUGGCGAUACACUGUCAGCGACUGAGCGCAAGCAUUAAGUGAUCCACCUGGGGAGUACGUCGGCAACGAUGAAACUCAAAGGAAUUGACGGGGGCCCGCACAAGCGGAGGAACAUGUGGUUUAAUUCGAUGAUACGCGAGGAACCUUACCUGGGCUUAAAUGUAGCAUGACUGCUGUCGAAAGAUAGUUUCCCUUCGGGGCAAGUUACAAGGUGCUGCAUGGCUGUCGUCAGCUCGUGCCGUGAGGUGUCGGGUUAAGUCCCAUAACGAGCGCAACCCUUAUCGUUAGUUACCAGCGCGUAAAGGCGGGGACUCUAACGAGACUGCCACCGUAAGGUGUGAGGAAGGUGGGGAUGACGUCAAGUCAGCACGGCCCUUACGUCCAGGGCUACACACGUGUUACAAUGGCCAGUACAAAGGGCAGCUACCAGGCGACUGGAUGCUAAUCUCCAAAACUGGUCUUAGUUCGGAUUGAAGUCUGCAACUCGACUUCAUGAAGUUGGAUUCGCUAGUAAUCGCGCAUCAGCCACGGCGCGGUGAAUACGUUCCCGGGCCUUGUACACACCGCCCGUCAAGCCAUGGAAGCUGGGGGUACCUGAAGUCCGUA
rnacentral:rRNA from 1 species